rnacentral:tRNA from 1 species
GGCCUGAUAGUUCAGUGGUAGAAUUCUUGCUUUGGGUUUACUAAAUCUCAAUUGUAAGAGGUCUCCGGUUCGAUCCCGGAUUAGGCCC